CGUAGGGUGCGAGCGUUGUCCGGAAUUAUUGGGCGUAAAGGGCUCGUAGGCGGUCUGUUACGUCGGGAGUGAAAACUCGGGGCUCAGCCCCGAGCCUGCUUCCGAUACGGGCAGACUAGAGGUAUGCAGGGGAGAACGGAAUUCCUGGUGUAGCGGUGAAAUGCGCAGAUAUCAGGAGGAACACCGGUGGCGAAGGCGGUUCUCUGGGCAUUACCUGACGCUGAGGAGCGAAAGUGUGGGGAGCGAACAGGAUUAGAUACCCUGGUAGUCCACACCGUAAACGUUGGGCGCUAGGUGUGGGACUCAUUCCACGAGUUCCGUGCCGCAGCUAACGCAUUAAGCGCCCCGCCUGGGGAGUACGGCCGCAAGGCUA
rnacentral:rRNA from 1 species